rnacentral:rRNA from 1 species
UGUUUGAUGUUCUAACGUGGACCCGUAAUCCGGGUUGCGGACAGUGUCUGGUGGGUAGUUUGACUGGGGCGGUCUCCUCCUAAAGAGUAACGGAGGAGCACGAAGGUUGGCUAAUCCUGGUCGGACAUCAGGAGGUUAGUGCAAUGGCAUAAGCCAGCUUGACUGCGAGCGUGACGGCGCGAGCAGGUGCGAAAGCAGGUCAUAGUGAUCCGGUGGUUCUGAAUGGAAGGGCCAUCGCUCAACGGAUAAAAGGUACUCCGGGGAUAACAGGCUGAUACCGCCCAAGAGUUCAUAUCGACGGCGGUGUUUGGCACCUCGAUGUCGGCUCAUCACAUCCUGGGGCUGAAGUAGGUCCCAAGGGUAUGGCUGUUCGCCAUUUAAAGUGGUACGCGAGCUGGGUUUAGAACGUCGUGAGACAGUUCGGUCCCUAUCUGCCGUGGGCGCUGGAGAACUGAGGGGGGCUGCUCCUAGUACGAGAGGACCGGAGUGGACGCAUCACUGGUGUUCGGGUUGUCAUGCCAAUGGCACUGCCCGGUAGCUAAAUGCGGAAGAGA